rnacentral:tRNA from 1 species
GGGGGAUUAGCUCAGAUGGGAGAGCGAUGCGUUCGCAACGCAUAGGUCGGGGGUUCGAAUCCCCUAUCCUCCACCA